AAGGGAAACCGAGUCUUAACUGGGCGUUAAGUUGCAGGGUAUAGACCCGAAACCCGGUGAUCUAGCCAUGGGCAGGUUGAAGGUUGGGUAACACUAACUGGAGGACCGAACCGACUAAUGUUGAAAAAUUAGCGGAUGACUUGUGGCUGGGGGUGAAAGGCCAAUCAAACCGGGAGAUAGCUGGUUCUCCCCGAAAGCUAUUUAGGUAGCGCCUCGUGAAUUCAUCUCCGGGGGUAGAGCACUGUUUCGGCAAGGGGGUCAUCCCGACUUACCAACCCGAUGCAAACUGCGAAUACCGGAGAAUGUUAUCACGGGAGACACACGGCGGGUGCUAACGUCCGUCGUGAAGAGGGAAACAACCCAGACCGCCAGCUAAGGUCCCAAAGUCAUGGUUAAGUGGGAAACGAUGUGGGAAGGCCCAGACAGCCAGGAUGUUGGCUUAGAAGCAGCCAUCAUUUAAAGAAAGCGUAAUAGCUCACUGGUCGAGUCGGCCUGCGCGGAAGAUGUAACGGGGCUAAACCAUGCACCGAAGCUGCGGCAGCGACGCUUAUGCGUUGUUGGGUAGGGGAGCGUUCUGUAAGCCUGUGAAGGUGUGCUGUGAGGCAUGCUGGAGGUAUCAGAAGUGCGAAUGCUGACAUAAGUAACGAUAAAGCGGGUGAAAAGCCCGCUCGCCGGAAGACCAAGGGUUCCUGUCCAACGUUAAUCGGGGCAGGGUGAGUCGACCCCUAAGGCGAGGCCGAAAGGCGUAGUCGAUGGGAAACAGGUUAAUAUUCCUGUACUUGGUGUUACUGCGAAGGGGGGACGGAGAAGGCUAUGUUGGCCGGGCGACGGUUGUCCCGGUUUAAGCGUGUAGGCUGGUUUUCCAGGCAAAUCCGGAAAAUCAAGGCUGAGGCGUGAUGACGAGGCACUACGGUGCUGAAGCAACAAAUGCCCUGCUUCCAGGAAAAGCCUCUAAGCAUCAGGUAACAUCAAAUCGUACCCCAAACCGACACAGGUGGUCAGGUAGAGAAUACCAAGGCGCUUGAGAGAACUCGGGUGAAGGAACUAGGCAAAAUGGUGCCGUAACUUCGGGAGAAGGCACGCUGAUAUGUAGGUGAAGCGACUUGCUCGUGGAGCUGAAAUCAGUCGAAGAUACCAGCUGGCUGCAACUGUUUAUUAAAAACACAGCACUGUGCAAACACGAAAGUGGACGUAUACGGUGUGACGCCUGCCCGGUGCCGGAAGGUUAAUUGAUGGGGUCAGCGCAAGCGAAGCUCUUGAUCGAAGCCCCGGUAAACGGCGGCCGUAACUAUAACGGUCCUAAGGUAGCGAAAUUCCUUGUCGGGUAAGUUCCGACCUGCACGAAUGGCGUAAUGAUGGCCAGGCUGUCUCCACCCGAGACUCAGUGAAAUUGAACUCGCUGUGAAGAUGCAGUGUACCCGCGGCAAGACGGAAAGACCCCGUGAACCUUUACUAUAGCUUGACACUGAACAUUGAGCCUUGAUGUGUAGGAUAGGUGGGAGGCUUAGAAGUGUGGACGCCAGUCUGCAUGGAGCCGACCUUGAAAUACCACCCUUUAAUGUUUGAUGUUCUAACGUUGACCCGUAAUCCGGGUUGCGGACAGUGUCUGGUGGGUAGUUUGACUGGGGCGGUCUCCUCCUAAAGAGUAACGGAGGAGCACGAAGGUUGGCUAAUCCUGGUCGGACAUCAGGAGGUUAGUGCAAUGGCAUAAGCCAGCUUGACUGCGAGCGUGACGGCGCGAGCAGGUGCGAAAGCAGGUCAUAGUGAUCCGGUGGUUCUGAAUGGAAGGGCCAUCGCUCAACGGAUAAAAGGUACUCCGGGGAUAACAGGCUGAUACCGCCCAAGAGUUCAUAUCGACGGCGGUGUUUGGCACCUCGAUGUCGGCUCAUCACAUCCUGGGGCUGAAGUAGGUCCCAAGGGUAUGGCUGUUCGCCAUUUAAAGUGGUACGCGAGCUGGGUUUAGAACGUCGUGAGACAGUUCGGUCCCUAUCUGCCGUGGGCGCUGGAGAACUGAGGGGGGCUGCUCCUAGUACGAGAGGACCGGAGUGGACGCAUCACUGGUGUUCGGGUUGUCAUGCCAAUGGCACUGCCCGGUAGCUAAAUGCGGAAGAGAUAAGUGCUGAAAGCAUCUAAGCACGAAACUUGCCCCGAGAUGAGUUCUCCCUGACUCCUUGAGAGUCCUGAAGGAACGUUGAAGACGACGACGUUGAUAGGCCGGGUGUGUAAGCGCAGCGAUGCGUUGAGCUAACCGGUACUAAUGAACCGUGAGGCUUAACCUU
rnacentral:rRNA from 2 species